UACGUAGGUGGCAAGCGAUACUCGGAAUCACUAGGCGUAAAGCGCAGGUAGGAGGUUUGGAAAGUCUCUUGUGAAAGCUCCCGGCUCAACUGGGAGAGGUCAAGGGAAACUACCAGGCUAGAGUGCGGUAGAGGUAGCUGGAAUUCCCGGUGUAGCGGUGAAAUGCGUAGAUAUCGGGAGGAAUACCUAUGGCGAAAGCAGGCUACUGGACCGUCACUGACUCUGAUCUGCGAAAGCUAGGGGAGCAAACAGG
rnacentral:rRNA from 1 species